CCAAUAGCGUAUAUUAAAGUUGUUGCAGUUAAAAAGCUCGUAGUUGAAUUUCGGAAUCAGUAUGUUGGUCGUGCUUCGGUACGUACUGUCAUUACUGGUUUCUACCUUCUGAAGAACCUUGAUGUCAUUAAUUUGGUGUCUUGGGGAAUCAGGACUGUUACUUUGAAAAAAUUAGAGUGUUUAAAGCAAGCAUACGCUUGAAUACAUUAGCAUGGAAUAAUGAAAUAGGACGUUUGAUUCUAUUUUGUUGGUUUCUAGGAUCGACGUAAUGAUUAAUAGGGAUAGUUGGGGGCAUUAGUAUUCAAUUGUCAGAGGUGAAAUUCUUGGAUUUAUUGAAGACUAACUACUGCGAAAGCAUUUGCCAAGGAUGUUUUCAUUAAUCAAGAACGAAAGUUAGGGGAUCGAAGACGAUCAGAUACCGUCGUAGUCUUAACCAUAAACUAUGCCGACUAGGGAUCGGAUGAUGUUAUUUUUAAUGACUCAUUCGGCGCCUUACG
rnacentral:misc_RNA from 1 species